rfam:Arenitalea lutea strain CGMCC 1.12213 genome assembly, contig: Ga0079849_102
UACUUGACUAUGCGUUAGGGAUUGUAGCGACAUCCUUUUGCCAAAGCAAAAGAUAUAGCGAAAAGCCCGACCCUUG